rnacentral:lncRNA from 1 species
UCCCAUAAGUCUUCGACUCCCUCCAGAUCAUUUGAUUUGGCAUUUUAGCAAUAUGGGCAUCACACGGUUAAAUCGGCAUACAAGUUGGCCUGUCAAAUGCUAAGGUAGGAAUGGAACGAGAAUCAGAGGCUGUCUGUCGUAGGGAUAGGAUAGAGUUCCAUACUUUCCACGAAGAAAAGCAGAUAGCCACUCGCUCUUUAGGGUAAUCAUUACAAUUUCGUCCCGCCACCAACACUUACACACAGCUUAAAAUAGAGCAUCAUGUGUAAGUGUCCAGAGCGUUUUACUAACCUAAUGAUCUCCUGCGCAAGCAGAUGAGCUCCGAUACAAUGUUCUUUAGUUAGACCAUCCGUGACCAGUAGGAUUACUUUAUUCAAUCAAGAAAGGCUGUCUUUCGGUCGUCUACGUUAACUGAUAGCUGCUUGUUUUGUUCUAUUACCUAAGGCCUUCUUCAUUCGCUUGGAAUAGCAUCCGGAUCUGUGACAAAGAGAAUGACGGCUAAACCUCCUUGAUUCCUUGAAGAAGGUAUCAGUCUAUCCUAUUGAGACUACCGGGAAGAAGGGUCGAGUGUUCAAGUCUGAUCCUCUUGUAUUGAAUACAGUCUCCCUCAAGGGGGAAUAAGCACUUUCGGAACCGUCAUAAAAUGGAAGCGCCGUUAAAGCCUUAACUUAGAUAGGCAGCGAUAGAGGGGGAGGGAAUAAAAUAGCGCAAGCAGAUGAGCUCUUAUACAAUGUUCUUUAGUUAGACCAUCCGUGACCAGUAGGAUUACUUUAUUCAAUCAAGAAAGGCUGUCUUUCGGUCGUCUACGUUAACUGAUAGCUGCUUGUUUUGUUCUAUUACCUAAGGCCUUCUUCAUUCGCUUGGAAUAGCAUCCGGAUCUGUGACAAAGAGAAUGACGGCUAAAC